UCAAAGUCAAAACUCUAGCCUGACUGAAAUGCUGUGGGCGGGACCUUAAGUGAGUGGUGCAAAAACAAAUGCUUAAACCUCAAUGAACUAAAGCAAGGUUUUAACUUUGCUAGUUUGGCCAUACACUUACACUAUUUCGUCAUGCAAUCUGCUAUAACAAGGAUGGACAAGGAAAUGAAAUGGGGAGCACAGACAGGAGAAAGAGAGUGAAGCACAUUCUUGAACUUCUGCCAGAAAAACAGGCAACAGCAGCAAGGAGUCGCAGCCAACAAAAUCCCCCAAGAACUGAUCCCUGUAGGGUCUUUGGCCCAGUUUUGUAGACUUACAGCAUGCCAGGUAGAUCCAGCUGUCAGCUCAGUCUUCUCAAGCAGCACCACAUCCUUCAUCCCAGCUUUGGCCAGGUGAUAGGCCAUGCUGACGCCCACACACCCUCCACCAAUGAUGACAGUUUCUGCAGUGUCCUUCCACCGCUUUCCCAAAACUGAAGAUGCAUCA